GCUUCUACAUUGAUGAUGAGUGCAGCCAACUGUGUGAAUUUAUGUGAAUUGCAGACUGUUUUGAAUAUCAAUUCCUCGAGCACAUAUUGUGGCCAUGGUCUUGCCUAUUUCCACGUCU
rnacentral:rRNA from 1 species